rnacentral:rRNA from 1 species
GAUGAACGCUGGCGGCGUGCCCAAUACAUGCAAGUCGAGCGAAUGGAUUAAGAGCUUGCUCUUAUGAAGUUAGCGGCGGACGGGUGAGUAACACGUGAGUAACCUGCCCAUAAGACUGGGAUAACUCCGGGAAACCGGGGCUAAUACCGGAUAAUAUUUUGAACUGCAUGGUUCAAAAUUGAAAGGCGGCUUCGGCUGUCACUUAUGGAUGGACCCGCGUCGCAUUAGCUAGUUGGUGAGGUAACGGCUCACAAAGGCAACGAUGCGUAGCCGACCUUAGAGGGUGAUCGGCCACACUGAGACUGAGACACGGCCCAGACUCCUACGGGAGGCAGCAGUAGGGAAUCUUCCGCAAUGGACGAAAGUCUGACGGAGCAACGCCGAGUGAGUGAUGAAGGCUUUAGGGUCGUAAAACUCUGUUGUUAGGGAAGAACAAGUGCUAGUUGAAUAAGCUGGCACCUUGACGGUACCUAACCAGAAAGCCACGGCUAACUACGUGCCAGCAGCCGCCGUAA